CUUAUUCAUUUCAUUGUUUAUAAAGCUUAUAUAAGUUAUUUUUUAAAUUUUAAAUUUAAAUUUUGCCUCACGUAAAUAAAAUAAAGAUUUUGGCUUCUAUAUCUUGAAGAAAGUCUAAAGUGUUGGAUGAUCAAGUGUUGGAUGACAAAGAGCAUCUAAUAAAAGCAUCUUUUAAAAUGAUGUUUGUUAUUCGCGUGUGUAUCUUUGUUCUUAUAUUAGCAUCUAAUGCACACAAUGCUGAAAAAUAUACAGCACGCAGUUUGAAAAUUCAACAAAGCAGUAGUUCUGAUUUUGGUGAUCUGCAAAAAAGUGUCGAUAAAAAAGAAAAGCACCAAGAAAAAACUCGAAUGAACUUGCUAUUAAAUAAGUUUUUCAAAGAUCCAGUACCAUCUCAAAUUUCCAAACCAACCCAUAAAAAGAAUGAUAAUACUCAAUCAAAAGUGCAAAACAUAAAAAAAAUUGCAAUGAAGUUCUCUCCAUUGAUAAGAAGACCAGGCCGUUUUGUUUAGUUGUUCGGAUUUUUAAAAGAACAUUUUCUUUUUUGCGUGUAAAUAACUAUCUUACAGUUUAAUGUUAUCACUUGUGAUUACUUAUAGCAUAUUUAUUGAUAAUUUUUCACGCAUAUUAAAAAGAUAAAAUGAAACUGUUAUUCGAUGUUUCUUAAAUGAUAUUUAAUAAAUGUUUUAUAAAGUUUCCUUAGUUUACUCUCUAAAUAUCGUUAGUAAACAUUGUAGUUGAAAAAGUAUUUUUUGCUCGAAUAUAUUUCAUCGAAAAAUAAUCUCGGCGUUUUACUCAUAAAUUACAUUUUAUUUAUUAAGUAUAAUUUAUGAAAAAAAUAAAAAUCACUCCAAAAUAGAUACUCAAAUUAGGUGCUUCGUUUCGUAAGCCAAUAUAAUAUUAAAAACAAAAAAGGAUUUUUUUUUUUUUGUUAUACUAAUUCAUUAACGCAAUUUUAAAGCACAUUUUACACACUUCGUUGAGAUUUUUCACGUCUAAUUCUACGUUUAGAUUCAAAAGAGACUAUUGUUUAACGAUUAAAGCUUUUUAGGUUUUGCGUUUAAAUUUUUAUUUUAGAAUUAUUUAAAUACUGAUAGAAAAUUUUCACUAAAGAAUCUCAUGGUUAUAUAAACUGUCUGGUUAUUAAGGUGUUUUCAGAAGUCUUUACGGUCUUAUCACAAAACAGUGUGAAAGAAAAUUAAACUAGGAAAUUCACGCCUCCUUCCUUACCAAUGUCGGUUAUUGAGUUGGAGUCAACGUCGAGCCUGACUCAGAACCUCUUGGUUCAGAGCAAGAACUGUAACUACUGCGCCAUGGCUAAUUUGAAAGCUACGAUUAAGCUGAUAAAAUAAUAAGAAAAAAGUAUUUUUUUUUUCAUUCUGAUUCGAGUCAUCCAAGUAUAUCUAGUGGUUUGCAACUAACAGUGUUUUGCAUAUUUAAAAGUUAAAGGAUGUGUUUAAGUAUUACUUAUAAAUAUCUUUUAACUUUUUUAAUUGUAGACAUGAUAUUAGUUUCACUGAUUUGUAAUUAAUUAUUAUUA